AACGAACGCUGGCGGCGCGCCUAACACAUGCAAGUCGAACGUGAAAGGGAGCAAUCCUGAGUAAAGUGGCGCACGGGUGAGAAACGCGUGGGGAACCUACCUCUUCGUGGGGAAUAACGAUCCGAAAGGAUUGGUAAUACCGCAUGAGACCGACGGCUGGGAUGCUGUCGGUGAAAGCUGGGGACCGGAAACGGCCUGGCGCGAGGAGAGGGUCCUGCGUCUGAUUAGCUAGUUGGUGGGGUAACGGCCUACCAAGGCAUCGAUCAGUAGCCGGCCUGAGAGGGUGAUCGGCCACACUGGAACUGAGACACGGUCCAGACUCCUACGGGAGGCAGCAUGGGGAAUUUUGCGCAAUGGACGAAAGUCUGACGCAGCAACGCCGCGUGGGGUGAUGAAGGGUCUUCGGAUUGUAAAAACCCUGUCGUUCGGGGACGAAGGUAGGAGGGUUAAUAG
rnacentral:rRNA from 1 species